CCGCCCCCCUCCCCGGGGGGGUGGCCAGCGCCCGCCAGAGGACCAUCAAACUCCAGUCAGUAAACGAUGCAGUCUGAAAAACAUUUAAUAAACUAAAACUUUCAACAACGGAUCUCUUGGUUCUGGCAUCGAUGAAGAACGCAGCGAAAUGCGAUAAGUAAUGUGAAUUGCAGAAUUCAGUGAAUCAUCGAAUCUUUGAACGCACAUUGCGCCCUUUGGUAUUCCGAAGGGCAUGCCUGUUCGAGCGUCAUUACAACCCUCAAGCUCUGCUUGGUAUUGGGCACCGUCCUUUGCGGGCGCGCCUCAAAGACCUCGGCGGUGGCGUCUUGCCUCAAGCGUAGUAGAACAUACAUCUCGCUUCGGAGCGCAGGGCGUCGCCCGCCGGACGAACCUUCUGAACUUUUCUCAAGGUGACCUCGGAUCAGUAUGGAUCCCCGACCC
rnacentral:rRNA from 1 species